UUAACACACGAACACACACACAGACUGACUCACUGUAAAACACAAACACACACACACACACAUAAGGCUUGCGCCGCGUUCACCGUUGGUACGGGCCACGGGGGAAAAAAACAUUCAGUCAGAGCGUACUGCCCGCCAAUGCUUGUCUGUGUGUUCGCCGCCGUCAGUCAACAAUAUUGGUUUGAAAAUCCAAAAGUGCGAUCCUUCGUCUCGGUUAGUUGCUCGGUUCGUCCCGAUAGAUUUCCCGGCACUCGGCAGUGUCCUGCCGUACGAAUGAAGUCCGCAACCCUUGAUUGAAAUCCCGGUGUAGGGUUCUGGAAGUCCGGGAAUAGCGCCAUGUCUACGGAACAGGAUGUCAGGCUGAUUUCGCUGGUCCGAGAUCGCGCGUUGAUCUACAACAACGCGUGGAAGGAUCGACGGUGCGUGGACAACCUGUGGCUGGAGAUCAGCCUGCAAAUGAGACUGCCAACGGAAUUAUGUAAGAGGAAAUGGACCAACUUGCGUAACACGUACGCCAGACACAUUCGUGAAGAAAAAGCAGGAUACAUAUACGACGGCGGUCGUAAACCUUGGUACUUGGCAGAGAAAAUGUCAUUCUUAAAAGACUACAUGCAUAACAGACCAAACUCUUUGGACGAUUCUCAGUCGUCGUACUCGUGGUCGCCGGAUUUCUCUGCCACCUCAGCUGGGAGUCACUAUUUCCCGAAACGGGCAAAGUUGGAAAACGGGCGCGAGUCUCUUUCGCAGUUCGAAAGACUUUUGGCCGGCCCCAAAAUCGACAGUAACCCGGACAACCAGGUCACGUGCACCGGGACGAUCAAGGCCGAACCGCAGGACGGGUCCUAUGCGCCGGAAGUGCAGCAAAUCAACAGGCACGGGUCGAAAAUGAUAACGUCGUUGAUAUCCGGCGAGUCGGACGAAGAUAACAAUUCGGCGGAAGGGGCCGACGAAAAUCGCAGGGAUCCUUCCACCAGGUAUUUUUUCAAGAGCAUCAUGUUGAACUACGACAAACUGUCGAGGAGACGGCGCCGGUUGUUCCAGCAAAAGAUGUUGUACGGCCUGCACGAGCUGCUCAACGAACAGGAAGACGACAUCCGGCAAUCGCAGCGCACCGGUACAGACUUGUACCAGCACGGCCGGGAAGAAUCCCGGGAAGGGCUUCGGUAUUCUUCCGCCAAUUCCCUGACCGACGACGCUACGCCCGAGUAGGAAUAAAUAAUAAUAAUAAUAACAGGUACCGCCGAGAAUCUUGAACGAAACGCACAACAUAGUACAUUUGAACGCAUUGUAAAUAAUAUGAAAUAUAGGUUAGUAUAAAAGCCCCCGUAGAACGUUCCUAAAUAUUAUAUUGUUACUGGCUAAACGGCUGGUGCAAUGUAAACUAUGUUUAUGUACAUAAAAACAACGACCAGGAAAUGUAAUAUUUCUAUGUAUUAACAUAAAAAUACGCAUGUAAAAAAUUAUUUUCCAAGUAUAUUAUAAUAUUUUUAACAUAUUAUAGUAGGUAUAUUUUUAUUUGCGAAAAUAAAUUACACCUGUUAUACUAUCUACUCUUGUUAUUAAAGAAUCAAACAAAUUCAGCUAUCAUGUCUCUUUUGGACUAGAAAAUAUUCGAUUUGAAAUUAGCCGCAAAACAGAUAACGAGAAACGCGAAAAAGUUACAAAAAGACGAAUCCAAAGAAAGGAGACAGUGUUGGCUGCACGUGAUGCGCGGCCAACAAGACAUUGCUCGAAUACACGCUGAAAAUGCGGUGCACAACCGUAAUCAGAGCGUUGGCCUGUUGCAGCUGGGCGCCUCAGGGUACGGUCGAGCACAUAGAAGCGGCAAAACUACAGAACAAGAUAUCUUCGGCAAUAGAGUCUGUAGUGUUUUCAAUGGCCGUGGCGACACGAGCUAUAAACAUUCCUUCACUAACUCACACUAUAGAUAAGUUCGAGAAGAUGACAGACUAUUUGGACACGCG